GCCCAGCACCGAAUCCUUCACCAUCUCGGUGACAGGAAAUGUGGUGUUUAGGUCGUAUCUUGUCCCGAUAUGUCUCUCCUCAAGUCCACUUGAUUGUGGCCCCAGGCCCAGAGAGGGUGUAAGGCCCGUGGAGGCGAGACGUUCGGUACCCGGUGCGUCCUUAGAGUCGGGUUGUUUGGGAAUGCAGCCCUAAGCGGGUGGUAAACUCCAUCCAAGGCUAAAUACGAGCACGAGUCCGAUAGCGAAGAAGUACCGCGAGGGAAGGUUGAAAAGAACUUUGAAGAGAGAGUUCAAGAGUACGUGAAACCGCUGAGAGGCAAACUGGUGGAACUGAAAUGGUCCCGAGGAAUUCAGCCGUUGGUGGAGGCACAAUCUUUGGUGCUUGAUUUAACGACAACGCCUUUGAAUGACGUUUUCAUCAUCGGUGCACUUUCCUCGUUAUGGGCCCGACCACGACCGGUGAGCUGACCUGUCUGUCGUGCUUGGAAGAUAGCGCCGUCUUCGGAAGGCGUGUUAUAGACUUGCAUACGGAGCAGUCGGCGCACUGGAUGAAAGUGCCUGCUCAUUGGGCUCAUAUGGCGGUUGUUUUGUCGGCGAGUUCUGGUGUCACUACUUCGGUAGAGUCACUGGACUGUGUUGGCCUUGUGAUUGUCCUCUAUGAUUGGCACUGUUAAGUCUGUGGUUGUGAGGUAGGUAGUCCACCUGACCCGUCUUGAAACACGGACCAAGGAGUCUAACAUGUGCGCGAGUCAUUGGGUUCACGAAACCUAAAGGCGCAGUGAAGGUGAAGAUCUGUUUUGGCAGAUUGAGGUGGGAUGCCGGGUUACGCGCCCGGCCGCACUACCGGCCCGUUCUAUAUGUAUCUCAUAGGAGCGGAGCAAGAGCGUACACGUUGGGACCCGAAAGAUGGUGAACUAUGCUUGCGCAGG
rnacentral:rRNA from 1 species